UUACAAAUAUAAAGCAGGAAGACUUAUCGCUUGUGACUUCGACCAAAACAUUGAUCGUAUUAGUAGGAUUUUCCUCUUGGCUGUGGUGCAGAUGUUGUAAUCUAAUCCCGGAUUCAAAGCCUCAUUGGAAAAAAAAACACAAAGGACAAAGUGAUCCUUAAAAAAUUGCUCUCCGGUGCUGAGCACACCUAACGCAGCUGUUUAAAAGAUAACGUCGCAAAAUGUAUGCUAAAUUCGGGAAACAUUUGUGAACGAGGGUACUGCCCAUCAGAAAAGGUGGACUGAAUCUGCUUCUUUCAGUACAGAGUUCUGCGCAGAAACUCUGUUUUUGAGUAGGUAUUAUAAAAUUUUGGAUAGCACUCGUUUCGUUGCGCCCUUCUAAAAUUAUUUGAAAAAUCCUCUAAAUAUUCCGGUCAUUUCAUCAUGUUAUCAACAUCCCACAUGUACUCUGCCGAUAGAAAUGUAUCAGCAGUUCACCAUGUCAAAUUUACUCUCACGUAGACCUGUACCUAUAACACAGAGAUCAGUUUAUGCUAAAAUAUGACGUAGCUUAGAAGUUGAAAACAAUGAUCAUCUACUACCAAUAGAAGCAUGAUCGCUCACCGUUUAUGUGAGUUUCAUGCAGAAUACAUAUUUCAGAAAUUCGAUGAUAUGGAAAAAUAUUCGACAUAACCACCAUUUUAUGGAUAAAUAUGGAGUACUCAAAAUGGGCGGAAAGUUUGAGAAUUCUUGAAAAAUUUAUUUUUCAAAACAGAUAUAAAUGUAUUUAAAAAAAAAAUGUUUUACGUGUCCACGUGGACAUAAUCUGUACCCCCACCCCCCCUCACCGUGGACAAGCGUGGACAUGUUCGUACCCCCUACACACACCCCCUCACCCCCCUUCUUAAGUUGUCCACGUGGUAUGUGGACAGCCCCAUAUGUUUUGAUGUUAUUGUUUUUAUAAUCAAUCCAUUAUUCUGGUGAAUUAUGAUAAUCGUCAAUAAAUGACGUAGUUGUCCCAACAUUGUCGUGCUACACACGCUGCACCGAUCCGCAAGCCAUUGGGUGAGGGCAACAUCGCUCAACAAUACCAAUUAUAGCAUAAAAUGAUACACUCCAAUGAGCAAGAAGCAUUUAUUUGUAGCAUGCAUAAAAUCGAAUAGGUGGAAUCCGGCCUUACGGUUACUUUGGUGAUUCUAUCAACUGAUAAAUGCCUGUAAAUCAAGAAUAAUUCAUAAUACGCAUCUAAUCACAUUGUGACCUUACGCCGAAACGUAGGCAAACAGAAUGCUCGUUGCGUUUUAGGGGAAAACGAGUGGCUAGUAAUAUCGAAAAAACAUACCUAUUUAAAUCGUCAAAUUGUUAACUUUUUUUUACUAUAUUCACUUUACAUGUCCCAAACAAAACAAUACUUGAUAAAUUUCCUGCCUAAUGGUAUACAUCACAACAUACGUCGCGAUAACGAUUUUGAGUAAUAUGUGUUUGAAGAUUCUUAAUGAAUCGUCACAUUUUUCGUGAGGGUAACCAUUCCAAUUUUUGGGUGGUCCGAAAAAACCCUUUUUUCCAAUUUUUUCCAAAAAUUACUUUUGAAAAAUUCAUAACUUUUGAACCACUAGCCUGCUUCAGAUGAUCGACAUAUCAAAUAAAAAUAGUCGGUUUCGAAAAAAUUUUUGGACAUUGCGUUCUUAAUUAUUGAUUGUAUUUGUUUUUUUUAUUUACAUAUUUUCGGGACCAAAAGCGCCUUUUUUAAUAUUUACACAAAAUUAUUAAUAAUUGUUUACACAAAAUAUCUCAAAAUCAGUGAUAUGGUCUUCUAAUUUUUUAGUUAUGAUUUUUCUAAAUUAACCGAUAGUUCGAAAUAUAUUUUUUUUCCUAUUCUCAAAAUUUCACAAGAAUCUCGAACGAGAAUUGUGUCUGAAAAUAAUUUUAUAUUGUAAUGAGAAGUUUUGGUUGAAGUACUAGGAAGUUUAUAGUAGAAAGAAAUUGUAAAGAAUCAACGAGAAGUUAUACGAACCCACGAACGUUCGCUUAGUAAGAAAACAUGAAUGUUUGAAAGUAUUCAUAUCAGAAAAUCAAUUUUGGGCGGGAGGAAAUUCGCAGGGUCAGCUAGUACGACAAUAAUUCCAAAAGUGCACUUGCAUUAUCACCGCGAUUUCUACGCUAACUCGUCAGAAUUUGAAUAGGGUACAUAUUUCACUUGUACCGAAUUAACAAGAAACGAAUACCAUAAAUUAAUUUUAUUUACAAUUCAAAAUCAUCUCGCAUGUCGUUAUACUCCAGCACAUGUUUCCUGAUCGCCGAUCCGUCCACCCACGUCACAAAGUCCUCCAACGUUCGUGGCACCAGAAAGGCGGGAUCUUUAACAACCUCUGCCCCAACUCGAACGUGACCAUGUUCGACCAUCUGGGUGGCAUGCUUCAUGUUCUCUGACAUUUUGUUUCUCAGCAAAACCACGGGAAGUCUUCGCCUGCAGAAGGACGAAGCGCUCAGCUUACUGGCGUUCUCCAGAUCCCACUUCGUCGGAAUAACGCCCAUUAGGUAUAGUUUUUCCAACAGCAGCCCACUCAUCUCCGUUCGGAACGGAUGUUUGGGAUCUAUUUCGGCAAUUUUUGCUGCCAAUUCACGGAUGUUUCGGGAUAACUUAUUGUAUCUGCAAAAUAUCCAGAACGUUUACCAAAAAUUAUUUGCUUUUUUUUACAAAACUUACGUGGUGUAAUCUUCGCGCUUCUCGAUGUUGUAUUUUCGCAUCACUUUCACUUCGUUCAGAUUAUUGGUUUCUUUCCAAUUGAAGAAAUCUACCUUUUUGAGCAAUUUCUGCUCAUGAAACUUCAACUUUCGUACCAUUUUGAAAUUAUCGAAUCCUCAGGAAUCACUGAAUCUUGGAUUUAUAUUUGGUAAACAGAGCAAGCAUGUGUUUACCUGAGACUUGUUUACCUGUUUACUUCAUGAAGUGACAUUAGCGAAUUGAUCAACUGUGGCUGAACGCAAGUGUUAGAUAUCGAGGUAGAGUAGUAGGCGAAAUAAACUUGUAUUGAAUAAUAAAUAUGGUGUCGCAAUUGUUUGCAUUUAAUGUGAAGUGAAUAUGGAGGAAACAAAACAACGUGGAAAAUACUCACGAUUUCAUGAUGUUUCGAGUCAAACGAGUCUAAGAUGGGAAGAUGUAUGCAUUUUGAUUUUGUAAAAGUUCGAUUGUAUUACUAGCUAUUUGACAGAUAGGAAGAAACAGAAGAAAGAACUGUUGUGCCCAACAUUUCGUCAUUUGAAAAGUCGUCUCUGCAACUGUACAUGAGAUACAAAGCAUUCGACAGAGAAAUGAUUCGAACACACAAAAAACAUUCUCUACUUAUUAGGCCGCAUGAAUAAAAAAAAAAGUAUUUGUGUUUGUGGAUGUACUGGAGGAAGUAGGAAAAAUUUUACUUUCCAAAUCGCAAACACCAUAUAUUUCCAAGUAAAGUAAACUUUCCUAGUAUUUACUUGAAUCUGUAUGAUUAAAAGUUUACUUUACUAAUUUCGUUUUAACGUAUGUUCGAAUUCGAACAUAGUUCUUACUUUGUUCAACAUCUGUCAACUGAUUGUUUUUGUUUGGUUUCAAAAUGUCACUUUCCUCGCCCGUGUUGUGAUCCUUUCAUUGAAAAGAGGUACUCGAAGAGAUUGUUCUGGUAGUUGAGUUUUUUAAUUGUUGCUUAAAAAUACUAGUUUCCAAUCAUAAAUUUAUAGUCGAAGGAUCUGCCGAAAAAUCAAUCAGCAGCGGUAGCGGAUGAAAGAGGAAGAAUCAAUCUAAUCAGGAACAAAUGGAUGCUGUGUUUGUGGAUGUACUGGAGAAAGUAGGAAAAAUUUGACUUUCCAAAUCGCAAACACCACCUGUGCGGGAGAAGAAAAAAACAGCGUUGGCGGCGAUGCGACAGCAGUUGCUCAUCCGAAGUGGAUUCUGUGGAUUCUCUGGCGACCAAAUAUUGGGCCCUAUUAUAGAAAUCGAGGCGAUAAGAAUUUUGCUCGUUAGCUCUAUUUUACUAUUAUAGAGAUCGAGCAAUUCGAUAGCACCGAGCGAGUGAUAACUAUCGAUGCAAGUGUCAUAUCUUUUCGAGUUGUUUGGUUCACUUGUUGCAUAUCUUCAGAGAAUAAUUUUGUUUUGGCUUGCAUCCCUUUGGGAAACAUUUCAGAAACGCUUCAAUAUAUGCAAUUUGCAACACAUGUUCGUUUGUUUUGAUCAGCAUUUGUUUUACGGUGCUGCCAGAAUAGUCUAUACAAGGUAAGUGUUCAGUUGUUCUUUAUACUAAUCAUGUUAUAACUUACAAUGCAGAAUUUACUUCCAGCGCAUAUUUCAGUGGCGGAAGAAAAAAAACCAAAUCACCACCAGUUUGAACGGCUCCUUGAAACAAUGGAAGCAAAUGUAGACAUUGCUCGAGGUUUUUGUGGAGGCAGUUCUAAUAUAAUCCCGGUGUAGGAUAAGUUGGAGGAAUUCAGAGAGGAGCUUAAUGCACUGAGACCUCCAAUGCAUCUAGGUUCAGAAUGGAAGAAAGUAAGUAUUUCUUUUACGAUACACAUAACUUUCAUAAGUAAAUUUUAUCAUACUCUGAAUUUCUUUCAACCGAAUUUCCUACCUAAAAAUUGCUUACUUCUACUAGCAUACAUUAGUACGUUAUUUUUGGCAGCAAUUUUCUUUUUUAUUGCUAUACUAUGCCAAACUAUACCACUUUUACUACAAUAGAUCAAACUAAUGGUCGGAGUGGUAUAAUGCUCUAUACCAUAUGCUAAAGCUAUCCUGCAAAACAAUAAUGAUUUUAUUUAAAUUAAAGGUUUUGAUUGACAUGAGGGGAAAGGUAAAGAAAACACUAGCACACAACAAGCGAGAAUUUAGAGCAACAGGUGGUGACCCCAAUACAAUAAAGCUAUCGACGCCACUACAACAAGAAAUCAACGCUAAAUGAAAAUUACAUGUUGCAUUACAUGAAUAACAAAAAUUGUUUUACUAAAAAAAAGUGAAAUUCGUGCAUGACUCUUUACGGAAUUCCAUAAUUUUCUAAUAAUUAUAUUUUUUGCACAGCAAAUUGUUCCACGCUGUCGUUUUUAUUACACAUGCAUGCGUGCCUUACGCCUAUUAAGCUUUAUUCUUUGAGGGAAUAUCAAUUUACUCCAAAACAUAUCCAUAUUAACACUUUUGGAAAUACAUUUUCGUAGCAGGUGCCUCAAAAAAAGAUUUGGCAUCAUUUUUAUAGUGCUUCAUGAAACAUUUCAGAUUUGUUUCAAAAUAUUUCAUCACAACCGCUGACAUUCGAGCUUGCUAACGAAUCGAGCAGUUUUCCUCGAUUUCUAAAAUUCCAGAUUUUACUCGGUGUGAUAGUGAUAGUGAUUGUAUCGAAUCCUCGAUUCGAUUUCUAUAAUAGGGCCCAUUGAAGAAAAUCAAUAACAUGAAGACCGCUGUUAAAGAAAAAACAGAUACCAAAAAAACAGGGAACGUUAAAAUUGUGCUCAACCAACCGCAAGAAAAUUUUUAUGGACUGGUGAGGGUGUUGACAAUCCCAGCAUCAUCAGCGUUCCGUAUGGUCUGGCAGUAGGAAGCAAAAAUAUUGCAAUAGGGAAGGAUUCACCGAAGGAGGAGCAUGAUUCUUCUGAUGAUUAUGAUUACAACAGCUUGCAGAAUGAGUUUCUGGCGCCGAGUCAAGCAUGUCAAACACUAAAAACAAAUCAAAAAUCGACACGUGGCAGAGCACAACAAACAGUGUGUGAGGAGCAACUUAAGUUACUGAAAAAGCAACAAGAUUGUACGGAUGUAUUGUAAGCCAACCAAGAAGAGCGACACCAAAAAGAAAUGGAGCUGUUGGUUCUGAAAAAUGAUAUUACUGUCCUGAAAAUCAAAAAAACUCAAAGAGAACAUGAUCAUCUGAAAGUGUAUAUAUUUUUUAAAUUAAAGUUAAAUUAAUAAAGUUUUAAAGGCAGAAUAUUUUUUAUAUUAUAACUGAUUUUUAAUGUGCAUCGCAAUUGCAUCUCGACGACGUUGUCCUCUAUGGCGAAUAGAGUAGCCAUCAUCGACUCCCCCAUUGAACUGUACAU